GGGGCGUCCGUGGCUCCGAUCCACCAGGCCGCUCUCCCAGCGUACCCCGCUCCCGCAGGCCGCGACCCGGAAGCUGUCGCCGGCUGCUAGCCGGCCCGCUGCUCUGUCCACUUUGGAGUUGCGGAGUGUAGUGGCCUGGGCGGCCGGAGCUUGUUGUGGCUGCUGGCCGCGGCGGUCGGAAGGAUCCCCACCCCCCCAAGAGUUCGUUCCCAGGGGCGCAGUCUGAGCACGGGUCCCCCAGCGACGUGUGACCCGAUCUGCCGGCUGCUGCUUCGGAGUUCGUAAGUGUCCGUGGGCCGCGCGGGGCUGCGAAGAGACUCUCCGCCUGGGCCAUGAUGGAGGCCGGCAAAGUUUUCCUCAUCUCGGCUGGAACAGGCUAGUUGAUGGGCCCUGUCGACAGAAGCGAGCGGGAGAAGCAGAGCUUUUUCUGUCGCUCUGCAGUGCCAGUAGUAUCGAAGGUCCAGAGUUCACUCAGUAGCAGCUGGACUUGUUCUCUUCGGUGACAGUUCAUGCUCCCACUCCUGACACCAAAAUAAAAUCGGAGGCUGUCAUCUGUGGAAACAUACCUGUCCUUUCAACCAUGAAGGCACAAACAGUGUCCCCUACCCAGGGGACUAUCUCCGAGUCCAGUUAUGUCCACAGCAAUCUAUGGAGUAGCCGGAAGCUAAUGAUCGUGGGGGUCUUGGUGGGCUGGCUACUGGUCAUCCACCUUCUGGUCAACAUGUGGCUUCUGAUCCUUCUAUGUGCAUCGCUGGUAGCGCUGGGAGGAUGGCUGGGCUCCACUGCCAUCCUAGGGGCUUCAGGUCAAUUGCACCUGGAACGAUUCAUUACCAUCACCACCUGUCCUCCAUGUCCCGAGGCAGAAAGGCAGCUGGAACAGGAGAUUAACCGCACUAUCCAGAUGAUUAUCCGAGACUUCGUGUUAUCCUGGUAUCGUUCUGUGAGCCAUGAGCCGGCCUUCGAGGCAGAGAUGGAGGCAGCCAUGAAAGGGUUGGUUCAGGAGCUUCGAAGGCGGAUGAGCAUAGUGGACAGCCAUGCUCUUACCCAGAGGGUUCUGACUCUCUGUGGUUGUCACCUGCAGAGCUAUAUUCAGGCAAAGGAGGCUACUGCAAAGGAGCAGAGCUGUCCAGUUCAGCCCUCCCAGCUGUGGGAUGCUUACUGCCAGGUUACAGCUCCCCAUCCUGCCAUGAGCUGUCCCACCACGGAGGUCACUUAUGCACGUGGCAUUGUGAACUUGAUACUAAAAGAGUUAGUGCCCAAGCCCCACCUGGAGACGAGGACUGGACGCCACGUUGUGGUUGAAGUUAUUACUUGCAAUGUCAUCUUACCACUGAUCAGCAAGCUAUCAGAUCCUGACUGGAUCCACCUUAUUCUUGUGAGUAUCUUUUCCAAGUACAGACAUGAUGCAGCACAGGGAACUAAACCCCCCUGCUCAUCCAGUGUCCUAGAGCAGCCCUCGGUGCCCACAUCUCUGCCAUUGAUUGUUGAAGUAGAGAGUCUGCCAGUAGGAAAAGCAUCUUCUCCAGCAACAGCCCCAGUACACUUGACCUCCAGUGAGCCAGCCCCUUCCCCAGAGAUUGAAGAAGGCCAUGAAGCUGUAGAGGGAGAUUUGCCUGGGAUGCUCGAAGAAAAAAAAGUAGGAAAUAGCUCAUCCCAUUUUCUACAGCCAGAUAUCCGAGGCCCCUUGUUCUUAUGUGAAGACUCAGAACUGGAGUCACCACUGUCUGAACUGAGCAAAGAAACCAUCCUGCUAAUGACCCCAGGCAACUUCCUUUCUGACAGGAUUCAAGAUGCUCUGUGUGCCCUAGACGACUCCGGGGCUCUGGAGCCUAAGGAUGGCGAGGGAUCUGAAUGUAUGGAAGGAGCAGAGGCCGAGGAGGCCCCAGGGACAGACACAGAGACAGGCAUGCUGGUCUCCGUGCUUAAUUGCCCAGAGAUCCAGAUUGACACAGCAGACAAGGAGGUGGAGCAAGGAGAUGACACCUCUCUUACAGCUUUGCUGGAGGAACCAGAAAAACCCUGCCCCCUACGGCCCUCAUGUUUAGACAAAGAUCUCGCCAGUGGUGUGUGCUCCCUUGAACCUGCUAUGCCCCCAGUGCCUCUUUCCUCCUCUCCACCUGGUCCUCUCAGCUCAGCCACCUUCAGCUUCGAGUCCCUGAGCAGUCCAGACGGCCCGGUUGUCAUCCAGAACCUUCGAAUCACUGGCACCAUCACUGCCCGAGAGCACAGUGGGACUGGAUUCCACCCAUACACACUGUACACUGUGAAGUACGAGACUGUCCUUAAUGGCGAGAACAGCAGCGGCCUACAGCAGCUGGCCUAUCACACCGUGAACCGCCGCUACCGGGAGUUCUUGAAUCUGCAGACCCGCCUGGAGGAGAAACCAGAUCUACGAAAGUUUAUCAAAAAUGUGAAGGGUCCAAAAAAGCUCUUUCCAGAUCUUCCGUUUGGAAACAUGGAUAGUGACAGAGUAGAAGCCAGGAAGAGCCUCCUGGAGUCAUUCCUGAAGCAACUCUGCGCCAUUCCUGAGAUUGGCAACAGUGAGGAGGUGCAGGAGUUCCUUGCUCUGAACACAGAUGCUCGGAUUGCCUUUGUCAAGAAACCAUUCAUGGUCUCUAGGAUAGACAAGAUGGUGGUCCAGACUGAGGUUUUCAUCCAGUAAAAUUGCCCCUGCACUGAGUAUAGCCGAGGCACAGGACAAGAUUCUGUACUGCCUCCAGGAAGGCAAUUCGGAGUCAGAAGUCCUGUCCAUGUCUGGGAUGGAGUCUUUCAUUGAAAAACAGACAAAGUUACUGAGAAUCCAGCCAGCAGAAGUCCCGGAUAAAGAUCCCCAGCAAGUGCCCAAAGAAUAUGUGGAUAGCGGUCUGCUGGACAAAGCUGUGGUAGCCCAAGAGCUCAACAAGAGUGGCCCGGGAACGGAGACAGAGUUAGCCGACACGGCCUUUGAUCUGAUCCUCCUGCUGUUGAUGGAGCAAUGGAAGUGGCUGUGUACUGAAAGCAUGCAGAAGUUCCUCCACAUUAUUUUUGGCACACUAGUUCAGAGGUGGCUAGAAGUGCAGGUGGCUAAUCUAACAUGUCCCCAGCGCUGGGCACAGUACCUCCAUCUUCUUCGGGAAUCUAUCUGGCCUGGUGGAGUGCUGCCCAAGUUUCCACGGCCUGGAAGGACGCAGGCACAGAAAGCAGCUACGGAGAAGCAGGCUUUGCAGAGCUUGAUGGAUCUCCUUCCAGAUUUUUUGGUAGAAAUCCUGGGAGUGAACAAGUGUCGGCUGAGCUGGAGUCUUGUCUUGGAGUCAUUCCAGCAGCCCCUCAUCAACAGACAUUUGAUUUACUGCCUUGGAGACAUUAUCCUGGAGUUGCUGGACCUCAGUGCCUCUGUUGAAGAGUGUGCCCCAGCUACCUCUGCCUCAGAUUCCCCAGGAAGCCUCAAGAAGAUGGCUGUCUCCACUUAGCUAAAACACCAUCUCCAAAGGCUUGAAAAAGAGAGCUGUUCAGCUUCCAGAAACAGCUAAGAUACCUGUGCCCUCUGGAGCUAAGCUAGCUUAGCUAGCCUCCAUCUCAGGGGCUCAGUUCCCCUACCAGGUCUCCCUUAGUAGCACAUGACGGAGCUACAUAGCCUAUUUGCAUGUGUACCUGUUUCCAUAGUCUUUGGCAUGUGGAUUGCUGCGGAGAGGAGGUCUUGUUUCCUUGAGAACAGAAGCUGUGAAGCAAAGGCUAUUUAUCCCUUUGCCUUCUCACCAUCACGGUUUGCCAACAGCAUGGCCCUGCGCAUGCGUGAACCUAAUCCACAAAUGUGCAAGUGGCAGGUGACACAGGAGAAACAAUGGAGCCAGAUUUCCUGGGGGGAGAAGCAGUCUCCUGAGCUCUCUUUUCCUAGCUGGAAACCAAACGUUCAUUCAGGAUCACUCCCUUACCCUGCCCAGUUCCCAACAAUUCCAGAAGAAGAGGGAAGGAAAGUGUGUCUCCAGGGACUUGCUCUUUGGCUAUUUUCUGACACAGUGGACUUCUAAAGGAUGUCAAGAAGGCUGCUUCCUAGGGUGGCUAUACUUUUCCUGUCCAGAGGCUUCAAAGCACACUGUCAAACUUCUGGUAAAGCCACUCCACCCUUCACACCCUUUCCUGCGAGGGAUUAGACAGCAGAUUUCCUUAACUUUCCUCCCAGCCCCUACCCAAAAGCAAAUGCGUUUUGGAUUUGUAACUUUCCUUCUAUCAACAGAAUUGCAUGGCAAGUUACGUAUUUGGUCUCAGUAUUUCCAAAGAGAAAGGAAAGUACUUGUUCCAUGGCUGAGGGUGUACAAAGAAUAGAAGUCAGGGGAUGAGUGGGGAUCCCUCCACAAGAUUCUGGCAAGAAUAAUAUAGCAAACUUGCGGAUACAGAUUUUACUUUCUGUUCCUUAAAUAUUGAAUUAGUCCUUAGGAGGCCAGGAAUAAAGGCAGAACAGUCUGUGUCCACUGGAAAGAUGGAGCAACUGAGAGCAGCUGUUAGAAGAAAAGGGAGUUGGAGGGAAAGUCACAAGGUGAGUGCUGCUGCCCAGUGAGUGCACAUGAGUAGCUGGCAUCCCCAGGGUACCCAUGAGAGACCAUAGCCAACCCUCAGCUCAGGAGGUCUGUGUUGUGUAGCUCUAGCCUUGCUAUACUCAACUACAGAACCCACAGGGAUGGAGGUCAUGGGGAAAGCCUGGUAAGAACUGGGAAGGCAUCAAGAGCCAGCAUCAAAGUUGUCACAGACUCUGAAGUGUGUGAUGAACACACAAUUAAAGUUGUUCAUAGAAAAAAAGGUUGUGAAAUUGUUUUAGUCUCCUGUCCUGAGAGGCUCGUAACUGUACAUUACACUCUGAUGUGACUGGGAGGGUUCUGGCUUAAAAAGAAAAAACAGUGAAUGAGAUAAAGUUUUAUGGCCUCUUCUGGCCUUGAAGCUUGACUUGAUGGCUCCAUAGUUUUUGAAGUAUCCCCUUCCCUAGACCCUCAGAGGCAAAGAUAAUUCAACAUGUCCUCUGAGUGCCUGCUAGGGAUAUGGUUUCAAGGGGAUGCCUUAGAACUGAUCCUGUGGCUCCUAGGGUAAAGGCCACUUUAUUCUGUAUUGGCGGAAUGAGCAACCCUGAUUUCUGAACAGGCUUCUCUCCCAACACCCACCCCCUUCGCAUGACCACAGCCACCUGUGUCCACUUGAAUCUGCUACCAGUCCUGGUACACAUGUGCACAAGCACUGUUAACCCAACACACCACGAGUUCCUGUGGCAAUGAAGUCUAAGGGAUCUUUUCAUGCCUGCAGCCCAGAGAACUUCCCUAUGCUUCAUUUUAUAUAAGAGGACACACUUUUACUCCACCUGCCUUCAAAAGAUAAGCCAUCCUCAAGAGGGAAAUAAUAAAUAUAACCAAGGAUAUAUCAAAACCUCUCUGACUUGGAAAAAGGUUAGUAGCAGGCUCCAACCUCAAGAUCAUGAGCAUGUGGGAGAGCCACGGGUGUUGGGGUGAUGCUCCAGGCUGGGAGUGGGAACGGAGGGAGAACUGAGCCACACUAGUCCACUUGAUUUCUUCCCUGUUUGUUUGGCUUUUUAAGGACCCAGUUUGUUCAUUUAAUUGAGAAUAUUAGUACCUGAAGUAAGACCAACACCCAUUCUGUCUUGAUUGCACAUUUGUAAGAAGAGGAGAGAUGGGUGGAUACUGAGCUCUUUCUGGCAAUUUCUAAAUGCCAUCCUUGCUGUCAUUUAUUAAAGUUCAAGAUCGCUGUAUAUAAUUAUACAAUUUUAUAUAAAUAUAACAUAUAGUAGCCCGUGAUUUUUAUUUCCAAGCUUCUGGAUUAGGUUUUGUAGAGCCUAGAGGGAAAACACUCUCCUAAACCCAAGCCUAGGAAAUGUGAGAACUGAACACUAAUGGAUGUUGCCUGACUGCCAUUUUGAAGUUUCUAGCACAUGGCAUGCUCUUUUGUUGUACGGGUGCCAUGGAGUUUUUUCUGUGAACACUGUUGCACACCACAUAUCUAGAUUCUCAUCAUGUAUAACUUUAGACUCCAUGAUCAGCAAGCUCCCCUGUCCCCUGGAGGGUGGUGGUGGUGGGUCUGGUGGUCACCGUUCCACAUUCUGUGUAUGUGCAUCUAUACACUACAAGUGAAGUUGUGUAGUGUGCGCCCUGUAACAGGCUUACUUCACUUGGCAUUAUAGCUUCUGGUGCAUCUC